CGUAACGUGAAACUUAAAAACACGCCAAGGAGUGGAUGCAAGUGAACUAUCAAUCUACUGAAACAGAAGCGGGAAAUGUAUUCGAAGACGAAAAUGCUCGCGCGACCUGUGCGUCAGACCCGGAUAAACGCACGCGAGCUGACAAAAUCCUGAGUAGCUGUUAUUCAACAUAAACACAUUUCCGCACACAUGAAGAUGGAUGACGAUAGUUCAUCUUAAAAUGAAACUUAUGUUUAUCAGCUUACCCCCAGGCCAUCCAAGAGAUGCUCUUAAGAACAACGCCCUGAUGUCCAAGGUCAACCAGCAAGAAGCUGAGAAGGCACUGCCAAAAUGGUUUACUGGGGCAAGGGACAGAGGAGGACAGAGAUCAUCAAGAAUGCAGAAAAGGAUGUCUGUUUGAGAAAGGUUAAAACUACAGUUGUUGAUUUGAACUGUUGUAGUUCUUUAAUUUUUCUUAAAGGAAAACACAAUCAUUUUUCAAUAUUUACCAUGUUCUUCCCUCAACUUAGAUGAAUUAAUACAAACCUCUCUUUUCUCAAUGU